rnacentral:rRNA from 1 species
GGAGAACGUGCCCUUAAGUGGAGGAUAAUCUCGGGAAAUUGAGGAUAAUACUCCAUAGAUCAUGGGAUCUGGAAUGACCCAUGGUUGAAAGUUCCGGCGCUUAAGGAUCGCUCUGCGGCUUAUCAGGUUGUAGUGGGUGUAACGUACCCCCUAGCCAGUGACGAGUAUGGGCCUUGAGAGAGGGAGCCCAGAGUUGGAUUCUGAGACACGAAUCCAGGCCCUACGGGGCGCAGCAGUUGCGAAAACUUCACACUGGGGGCAACCCCGAUGAGGGAAUUCCUAGUGCUAGGACAUUUGUUCUAGCCUUUCUCUAGCGUAGAUAACUAGAGGAAUAAGGGCUGGGUAAGACGGGUGCCAGCCGCCGCGGUAAUACCUGCAGCCCAAGUGGUGGUCGAUUUUAUUGAGUCUAAAGCGUUCGUAGCCGGUUUGAUAAAUCCUUGGGUAAAUCGGGAAGCUUAACUUUCCGACUUCCGAGGAGACUGUCAAACUUGGGACCGGGAGAGGCUAGAGGUACUUCUGGGGUAGGGGUAAAAUCCUGUAAUCCUAGAAGGACCACCGGUGGCGAAGGCGUCUAGCUAGAACGGAUCCGACGGUGAGGGACGAAGCCCUGGGUCGCAAACGGGAUUAGAUACCCCGGUAGUCCAGGGUGUAAACGCUGCCGACUUGGUGUUGGAGGCCCUUCGGGGGCAUUCAGUGCCGGAGAGAAGUUGUUAAGUCGGCCACUUGGGGAGUACGUCCGCAAGGAUGAAACUUAA